rnacentral:rRNA from 1 species
GCCAGACUCCUACGGGAGGCAGCAGUGGGGAAUAUUGCACAAUGGGGGAAACCCUGAUGCAGCGACGCCGCGUGAGUGAAGAAGUAUUUCGGUAUGUAAAGCUCUAUCAGCAGGAACGAGACAAGACGGUACCUGACUAAGAAGCCCCGGCUAACUACGUGCCAGCAGCCGCGGUAAUACGUAGGGGGCAAGCGUUAUCCGGAAUCACUGGGUGUAAAGGGAGCGUAGACGGCUGAGCAAGCCUGAAGUGAAAGGCGGGGGCCCAACCCCUGGACUGCUUUGGGAACUGUACGGCUGGAGUGCAGGAGAGGUAAGUGGAAUUCCUAGUGUAGCGGUGAAAUGCGUAGAUAUUAGGAGGAACACCAGUGGCGAAGGCGGCUUACUGGACUGUAACUGACGUUGAGGCUCGAAAGCGUGGGGAGCAAACAGGAUUAGAUACCCGGGUACG